UGGAACAUUCCGACACCCACACAAUGAAUGCUUCUGUUCUGGAAGAGUUGUGGUAACCCUCUGGGAACUUGAAGCCUGAGACCUGAGGCCUGAAAAAAGUCCGGCCCGGCUGGGACCUGCAGCAUGGGCUGGCUGGGGCCUGCACUGUGGCCCUGCUGGGGCCUGCACUGUGGCCUGGCUGGGGCCUGCACUGUGGCCCUGCUGGGGCCUGCACUGUGGCCCUGCUGGGGCCUGCACUGUGGCCCUGCUGGGGCCUGCAGCAUGGGCUGGCUAGGGCUGCACUGUGGCCUGGAUGGGGCCUGCACUGUGGCCUUGCUGGGGACAGCACCUCUGUCAUCAUGCAUCUGGCUACAGCUACAACCCAGAGGUCUUAACCCUUCAGAGGAAGACAAAUAGCCAGCUCACUGGCUUCUGGCCUGCCUAUGGGGACUAUGAUUUGGAGCCAUGAAAAUUCUAUAGCAGUCCUAGCUCUGUGACACCCUUAUCUGGUGCUAGAAAGAACAGGCUGUCCUAUUCAUGGGGGUGAAAGGAGAGGCAGAUACUUCUAGAAGCAGAGCCAGAGGUGGUCUGGCAGAGGUAGAGCCUCUAGCAGGUUGUGGUUCUGGUUUUCCUUCUACUUGAAGCCUUAGGUGCUUCCAGAACAGGCCACAGGAAAGCUUCUGGCAGUGAGGCUGGCUUCAGGUCAAGCUUGGCAGAAUCUGAGGCAGCACCGGAGAGGUUGUCCCUGAGGAAGUAUCAUAGCAUUGGGUUUUGCUCACAGCAGAUUUGUGUUGUUGAGGAAGCCGGAAUGGCAGACCCCACAGUGUUUUCUCCACGAGUGUCCACAUGGCCUGGCAGCUUGCUUCUGGGGAGAGGAAGAAGCAGCAGCUGAGAGGGCAGGACUGCCUGUUUGGGGACAGGAACAGGAACCUGUAACUGUUCUUACUGGCAGGCGAGAGGACUGAGCCUGAGAGAACACAAGCUGCCCAGGGCAGCUGUACCAGCCACUCCUCUGGUCUUCUAUGGUUUUCCCAGAGCCUCCAAACAGGAUUCCGAGGCUGACAUUAUCUUUCCAAAGAGUGCCCUCUGGUGUGGAAACCUGCGAGGCCUGGCCUGCUGCUGUGAUGAAGAGCUCGAGCCAGAGGACGCCUGCUCCCAGCUGUGUGCGUGGUCACCAAGCGGGCAGCACUCAUGCCUCCAGCCCACUCCCACCUGUGCGCCAGCAGGCGUGGCCUGCACUGACACAUGGCUGGGAGUAUGGUACUUGGGAAAGGUAGGAUGUGACCUCAGAAUCCAGGUCAGCAUAUUCUAGGGGCGGGGGCUGCUCUGAACAGGAACAGUGGGGAGAAGAGAGAGACACCAGAGCUGGGACAUGCUCAGUCCCUUUGAUGUCCAGCGGGCUGGUCCACAGAGACAGGAACAUGCCUGGGGCUCUGUCACCUGAGGGAAACUGUCUCUAGAGCUUGAGAGAAAAGCCAGAGGCGACUUUAGAUGUCUUCAGAAAUGCCCAGGAAGAGCAAGAGACCCUCUGUUUUGAUGGGGAAAUCUCGCAGCCUUCAGACCAUGUGAACACCCUUAGGUGACCCCUCCCCACCACCCACCAAGCUCACACCUUCACUCUGACACAGCAGACCAGCCUGCCUUUGAUGGGCUGUCUGCUGUCCCCCGGACUUCCUGCUUUCCUGCCUUCUGGAGCCCUGGGCCUUCACUGAAGCCCUCCACUGCCCUGCCUCUCGCAGCCCUGCAUCCCCACGGCUCUGGUGAUGUGAAGCAGCAGUCAGGAGCCGCGGCCAUCUCGAGCCCCGUGCUCAAGGAGGUGCUGGAUGCUAAAGGUCAAAAUCUUGGUCAUGGGCCACGGAAGUCGGGGCUUCUCUAGAGGGGCUGCGUCAGGGACGCGUUUUACUUCCUGGUUUUAAAAUAAUAGAGUGUUUCUUUUUGUUUGUUUGUUUGUUUGGGUUUUUUUGUUGUUUUUUGGAUUUUUUUUUUUUUUU